rnacentral:sRNA from 1 species
UUUUUUCAAAUUUUUUUUUUAGUUUU